rnacentral:rRNA from 1 species
GAUGAACGCUGGCGGCGUGCCUAAUACAUGCAAGUCGAGCGAACAGACGAGGAGCUUGCUCCUCUGACGUUAGCGGCGGACGGGUGAGUAACACGUGGAUAACCUACCUAUAAGACUGGGAUAACUUCGGGAAACCGGAGCUAAUACCGGAUAAUAUAUUGAACCGCAUGGUUCAAUAGUGAAAGACGGUUUUGCUGUCACUUAUAGAUGGAUCCGCGCCGCAUUAGCUAGUUGGUAAGGUAACGGCUUACCAAGGCAACGAUGCGUAGCCGACCUGAGAGGGGGAUCGGCCAAAAUGGAACGGAGAAACGGCCCAAAUCCCUAGGGGAGGCAGCAGUAGGGAAUCUUCCGAAAUGGGGGAAAGCCUGACGGAGCAACGCCGGGGGAGGGAAGAAGGUCUUAGGAUCGUAAAACUUUGUUAUGAGGGAAAAAAAAAUGUGUAAGUAACUAGGCACGUCUUGACGGUACCUAAUCAGAAAGCCACGGCUAAAUACGU